CCCAAAUGGUAGUUGGGAGCAGUUAGGGGGAUUCUGAACGUUGGGGAAUAGGUCGCGGUUGGUCAGAGAACCGCGGCCUAUUCCCUUAUCACAGUAAAUUUUAUAAAUUUCAAAGCAUAUGCCGCGGUUGGGCGCUGAACCGCGGCAUAUAAGUUAAAAAAUUUUCAAAAAUGCCAUUUUGGAUAAAUUUUUUUUAAAUGAAUAGGCUGCGGUUCAGUGUAGAACCGCGGCAUAAAGGGGGAAUAUGCCGUGGUUAAGUGUAGAACCGCGACAGAUUCCCUUCUAAAGGUUAAAAAACAAAAUCUCUGAACAGUUUUCUUCUUCACGCGAACCUGAAAACCUUCGUCUCCAUCUCCACCGCGAUCGAGUUGCGACUUUCUUUCGUCAUUGUGCUUGCAUUGCUCCGACCGCCAUUCUUCUCCACCGGCCUUGCUUCUCUGCCGCACCGUUGCUUCUCUAUUGCGCCGUUCUUCUCCUGCAAGCUAACCAACCUGGUUUGAUUUCUCCUACGCCCUUCUUAUGCUUUUAUGCGAUUCCUUUUAAAUUUUGUUGUGCUUUUGUUGUUUUAUAUGCUUGUGAUCCUCAAAUUAAGGUCGGUGAUAUAUUGUGCUUUUGUUGUUUUAUAUGCUUGUGUUUUCAUUUUUGUGUAUAUUGUUGCC
rnacentral:lncRNA from 1 species